rnacentral:rRNA from 1 species
CCUACGGGUGGCUGCAGCUAAGAAUCUUCCGCAAUGGGGGCAACCCUGACGGAGCGAUGCCGCGUGGAUGACGAAGGUCGAGAGAUUGUAAAGUCCUUUUCUGGAUGAGGAAUAAGCAUCGGAGGAAAUGCCGGUGUGAUGACGUUAGUUCAGGAAUAAGCCCCGGCCAAUUACGUGCCAGCAGCCGCGGUAACACGUAAGGGGCGAGCGUUGUUCGGAAUUAUUGGGCGUAAAGGGCGUGCAGGCGGUUUGACAAGUCUGUUGUGAAAGACCGG